rnacentral:lncRNA from 1 species
AUGUUGCUGAAUGAUAGUUUUAUGAGAAGAACAGUCUUCCUUAUCCAAGGAUGCCUGUUAAAAUUCAUUUCAUGAGGAGUGCUAGGGUCACACCCUCUAACACACUCUUUUAACACACCCCAAUAACAAUUAGCCAAGUCAUCUAUUUUUUUUUUAUUCACUUACAUGCUGACCGGUUGUUCAGGUUGCAAGAUAUAACCUUUUGUCAAAAACAAAAAAAAAAAAAAAUUGAAUGUUACUCGGAUUUUCUGCAAUUUCUCCGAUCAAUCUGACUUAUUCUUUUCCGAUUAAGGUCGUUUUUGUCAACAUCUCUUUUGUGAGUUCUAUUGAUUAUUGUAAAGAUUGAAAUCUUAGGGUUUUGAAUUGAAUAAGGAAGAUCGUGACGUUUAGAAUUUGAUUUUGCUGAAGAUGAAAGAAAAUUGAAGGUUUGUGAUGGUGAAAAUGAUGAAGCUUGAAUGAAGAGCUUGGUGCUCUUCUCCUUGAUACCAUAUAACAGAACAAUUAAUGAAGUUUCGAUAUGGUCUAUGUUUGUUGCAGGUGUUUUCCAGAUCUUUUUCUAAAUUAUUUCUUCGGAGUGAUUCUAUUAUUUUUUUGGGCCGGGUUCCAUUCUCCUGUGUUGGUGGCAAUCUUUAUGUUUGAGUUUUCUUACACAUCAAUAGGAGAGAAAAAGUGAAUGGACAGAGGAGAAGUGAAGAACCUGCUGGAACAUGAAUGAACAGUGUUGGUGAGAAAUUGAAGACCGAAGAUGAAAAGUUAAG